rnacentral:rRNA from 1 species
AUUGAACGCUGGCGGCAGGCCUAACACAUGCAAGUCGAGCGGAUGAAGGGAGCUUGCUCCUGGAUUCAGCGGCGGACGGGUGAGUAAUGCCUAGGAAUCUGCCUGGUAGUGGGGGAUAACGUCCGGAAACGGGCGCUAAUACCGCAUACGUCCUGAGGGAGAAAGUGGGGGAUCUUCGGACCUCACGCUAUCAGAUGAGCCUAGGUCGGAUUAGCUAGUUGGUGGGGUAAAGGCCUACCAAGGCGACGAUCCGUAACUGGUCUGAGAGGAUGAUCAGUCACACUGGAACUGAGACACGGUCCAGACUCCUACGGGAGGCGGCAGUGGGGAAUAUUGGACAAUGGGCGAAAGCCUGAUCCAGCCAUGCCGCGUGUGUGAAGAAGGUCUUCGGAUUUUAAAGCACUUUAAGUUGGGAGGAAGGGCAGUAAGUUAAUACCUUGCUGUUUUGACGUUACCAACAGAAUAAGCACCGGCUAACUUCGUG